rnacentral:rRNA from 1 species
GAUGAACGCUGGCGGCGUGCUUAACACAUGCAAGUCGAACGGUGAUGCAGGAGCUUGCUCUUGUGGAUCAGUGGCGAACGGGUGAGUAACACGUGAGCAACCUGCCCCUGACUCUGGGAUAAGCGCUGGAAACGGCGUCUAAUACUGGAUAUGUGAUGUGACCGCAUGGUCUGCAUCUGGAAAGAAUUUCGGUUGGGGAUGGGCUCGCGGCCUAUCAGCUUGUUGGUGAGGUAAUGGCUCACCAAGGCGUCGACGGGUAGCCGGCCGGAGAGGGUGACCGGCCACACUGGGACUGAGACACGGCCCAGACUCCUACGGGAGGCAGCAGUGGGGAAUAUUGCACAAUGGGCGGAAGCCUGAUGCAGCAACGCCGCGUGAGGGAUGACAGCCUUCGGGUUGUAAACCUCUUUUAGCAGGGAAGAAGCGAAAGUGACGGUACCUGCAGAAAAAGCACCGGCUAACUACGUGCCAGCCGCCGCGGUAA